rnacentral:rRNA from 1 species
GACGAACGCUGGCGGCGUGCCUAACACAUGCAAGUCGAGCGAAUGAAGUUCCUUCGGGAACGGAUUUAGCGGCGGACGGGUGAGUAACACGUGGGCAACCUGCCUCAUAGAGGGGAAUAGCCUUCCGAAAGGGAGAUUAAUACCGCAUAAGAUUGUAGUACCGCAUGGUACAGCAAUUAAAGGAGCAAUCCGCUAUGAGAUGGGCCCGCGGCGCAUUAGCUAGUUGGUGAGGUAACGGCUCACCAAGGCGACGAUGCGUAGCCGACCUGAGAGGGUGAUCGGCCACAUUGGGACUGAGACACGGCCCAGACUCCUACGGGAGGCAGCAGUGGGGAAUAUUGCACAAUGGGGGAAACCCUGAUGCAGCAACGCCGUGUGAGUGAUGACGGCCUUCGGGUUGUAAAGCUCUGUCUUCAGGGACGAUAAUGACGGUACCUGAGGAGGAAGCCACGGCUAACUACGUGCCAGCAGCUGCCGAAA